rnacentral:rRNA from 1 species
ACUCCGUGAAGCUGGAUUCGCUAGUAAUCGCGCAUCAGCCAUGGCGCGGUGAAUACGUUCCCGGGCCUUGUACACACCGCCCGUCAAGCCAUGGAAGCCGGGGGCGCUUGAAGUGCGUUGCCGCAAGGCGCGCCCUAGAGCGAAACCGGUGACUGGGGCUAAGUCGUAACAAGGUAAC